rnacentral:rRNA from 1 species
AUUGAACGCUGGCGGCAGGCUUAACACAUGCAAGUCGAGCGGUAGCACAAGAGAGCUUGCUCUCUGGGUGACGAGCGGCGGACGGGUGAGUAAUGUCUGGGAAACUGCCUGAUGGAGGGGGAUAACUACUGGAAACGGUAGCUAAUACCGCAUAACGUCGCAAGACCAAAGAGGGGGACCUUCGGGUCUCUUGCCAUCAGAUGUGCCCAGAUGGGAUUAGCUAGUAGGUGGGGUAAUGGCUCACCUAGGCGACGAUCCCUAGCUGGUCUGAGAGGAUGACCAGCCACCCUGGAACGGGGACACGGUCCAGAAUCCUACGGGAGGCAGCAGGGGGGAAUAUUGCACAAGGGGCGCAAGCCUGAUUCAGCCAUGCCGGGUGGGGGAAGAAGGCCUUCGGUUUGUAAAGCCCUUUCAGGGAGGGGGAAGGUGGGGAACUUAAAACGUUCAUCAAUUGACGUUACUCGCAGAAAAAGCACCGGCUAACUCCGG